AGCAGAGUGGCGCAGCGGAAGCGUGCUGGGCCCAUAACCCAGCGGUCCGAGGAUCGAUACCUCGCUCCGCUA
rnacentral:tRNA from 1 species